rnacentral:rRNA from 1 species
GGAUGAACGCUGGCGGCGUGCUUAACACAUGCAAGUCGAACGGUGAAGCCCCGCUUGCGGGGUGGAUCAGUGGCGAACGGGUGAGUAACACGUGAGCAACCUGCCCUGGACUCUGGGAUAAGCGCUGGAAACGGCGUCUAAUACUGGAUAUGAGACACAACCGCAUGGUUAGUGUUUGGAAAGAUUUUUUGGUCUGGGAUGGGCUCGCGGCCUAUCAGCUUGUUGGUGAGGUAAUGGCUCACCAAGGCGUCGACGGGUAGCCGGCCUGAGAGGGUGACCGGCCACACUGGGACUGAGACACGGCCCAGACUCCUACGGGAGGCAGCAGUGGGGAAUAUUGCACAAUGGGCGGAAGCCUGAUGCAGCAACGCCGCGUGAGGGAUGACGGCCUUCGGGUUGUAAACCUCUUUUAGCAAGGAAGAAGCGAAAGUGACGGUACUUGCAGAAAAAGCGCCGGCUAACUACGU